rnacentral:rRNA from 1 species
UUAUGGCUCAGGAUGAACGCUAGCGGCAGGCUUAACACAUGCAAGUCGAGGGGCAUCGGGAGUAGCAAUACUCGCCGGCGACCGGCGCAAGGGUGCGUAACGCGUGAGCAACAUGCCCGUAUCAGGGGGAUAAUCCAUGGAAACGUGGUCUAAUACCCCAUAGUAAUUAUGUAAGGCAUCUUAUAUAAUUUAAAGCUUUGGUGGAUACGGAUUGGCUCGCGUGACAUUAGCUAGAUGGUAAGGUAACGGCUUACCAUGGCUACGAUGUCUAGGGGUUCUGAGAGGAAGGUCCCCCCACACUGGAACUGAGACACGGUCCAGACUCCUACGGGAGGCAGCAGUGAGGAAUAUUGGACAAUGGAUGGAAAUCUGAUCCAGCCAUGCCGCGUGCAGGAAAGACGGCCCUAUGGGUUGUAAACUGCUUUUGUAUGGGAGCAAUAAGGGCUACGCGUAGUCCGAUGAGAGUACCAUACGAAUAAGCACCGGCUAACUCCGUGCCAGCAGCAGC